rnacentral:lncRNA from 1 species
GUUAAAAGCUAGGGCUAGGAUUUGGAGGAUGUGUAGGCAAACGGAAGGAGAGCCGGGGGAAGAAAAACCGAAAUGGAUUCAUUCUCUGUCCUGGAUGGAGGAGGAGAAGAGAAGAGAAGAGAAGGGGAUGUGAAAGCUUCCUUCAACUGCCUGUCCGGUGAAAAGUGAUCAAACCCCCGGGGCUGAAGAGAACUCAAGAGUCCACGCGGACUUUCGCUUUAUCCUGCCAAUCAAACUGCUUACUAGACAACACCCUGAUCUGGCAUGGACAU